GACCUAGUGGCGAAUGGUAUCGCGUCUGAAGGCGUCUGCAGCUCGUCAAGGAGAUUGCUAUUAAGUAAAUUAUGCAGAAGUCCGGUUCGAACCCAGGCUAGGUCA